CGCUGUUUGUGUCACGUAUCAAUGACCGGGUAAAAGUAAGGGGCCAUUGUUAAGAAUUUGGCAGAUGAUACCUCGGUUUAACAUCCAAGAGCAAUUACCUCUGACAGUGCACCACGGCCCACAACCUCUGAGUGAUGAGCUGUAAUACGCCUUCAAGGUCACAGGUUGAACUUUUGAACCCUCUGAUGUCGACCCUCAGGGCAGCUGGACUUCAGUGAAUCACUUCUCAGCAGCUUUGGUUGAAGACAGGCUCUGAUCCUUGUGGAGAAUUGCAAUGACACCACGUCUUUCCUGUGGAGCACAGUGGGGACCCAGCUCUUCCACUCUACUGAGUAGAAUAAGCUCCUCUUAUUCCUUGUCCAGAUGCCACAACACCCCAGACUCCACAAGGCUCAUCAGGUCAGUGCUUAUGCCGGUUUCAGUGGCGUGACGCGACUGAGAGUACGAGACUUCCACACCUGGAUAGGACGCCAGUCUAUGGCGAGGUUAUAAGGCUUACAGUUUGGCGACCGCUGGAUGAUGGAAUCCCAAAGCAUGUUAAAGAAUUGACUGGAGGGUGAUCAUCGUCUCCCAAAGCUACCUAAAGUGGCGCUUCUACUCACCAAAUUCUGCCACACAGAUGCAAAUGCUAACAUGGAGAUAAUAUAUUCGCUUUGUGUUUAGGAGCGACAAAUGCUCCUGAACUGAAAAGCUUAUUUGUUGUUCAUGCUCGGUAUACACAAAACUGAAUGCACUUGUGUUUAAGUAAUUGUAUACCUACUCAGAUCUAUCAAUAUUUCCACAGUCUUAAAUUGUUCUGAUGCAUACAUCAGCUAAUAAAGUUCUUUUGAUUUUCUAUUGAUUUUGUUUUGCUGUACAUUAUUCUUUCUUUUGCUCACUGUGUGCAAUUUUAUGUAUAACAGACCUUUCUUUUACUAACACAAGAGAUUCUGCAGAUGCUGGCAACCUUGAGCAACAUUCGCUUUUUUUGUAACAGAGGGCAUUGAUGGCUUGAUGUUAUUGUCACUGAUCUUUUUUGGGAGGGAGGCAGUUGGGGGUUUGAUACUAUUGUUGCUGUUUUGUUUUGAGAGGGAGGGGGUUAGAAGGUUUGGGGUUUCUUGUUCCAGCUGCCAUUUUCCAUGUGGGCAAUCUGUUAGCUUUUGGGCAAGGGAUGGUGUGGGGGCUUUGGGGUUUGUGAGUGUUGCUUCUUUUUCCUUUUAAUGCAGGGAGGGGGUUGAUGUCUUUUCUCUUUUCUGUAUUUCAUGGCUUUCUGGAGAAGACAAAUAUCAGAGUUGUAUUGUACAUGGGUACUUUGACAAUAAAAUGAACCUUUGAAUCUUUAAUCACCUGCCAGCUUGUACUCCUUCCUCCCUCACCACCUUCUUGUUCUAGUUUCUGCCCCCUUCCUUUCCAGUCCUGAUAAAGGGUCUUGGAAAAAAAGCACCGAUUAUUUAUUCACUUCAAAAGAUGUGCUUGAUCUGGUGAGUUCGCCCAACAACUUAUGUGUUAAUAUUUAUUUAUUGAGUGUGAGAGUGAGUGUGUGUGCGUGCACGCGCACACAUAUCACAGUCAGCAUGCCUAUGUCUAUGUACAGUAUCAGUGUCUGUGUGUGUUUUAGCAUUUGUGAAUAUGUUACAUAUCUGUGGAGUAUUCGGAGUAUAACCAGAAAGCUGUAAGUGUUUCUCUUACAAGUGCUUGCAAGAAAAUGAAUCUCAAGGAAGUAAAUGGAACA